UCAUGGAGUUAUAAAAAGAAAGGGUCACAGAAAUUUGAAUUGAAGAAAACAAAGAGAGUGUGUAAGGGCAGGGCUUUAUGGAGAAGGACCAAACCGAGUUUCGAUCCGCAAAGCAAAUAGAAGACAAAGGCUUAUUAUCUUUUACAGAAUAAUAAAACACAAAACAGUAAAAAAAAAAAAAAAAAAAAAGAAAAAACGAGACAAAGGGAAAAGCUGCUUUGGUCUUUGUUUGGUGGGUGAGACAAAGACGACGAAGAGGAAGAGACUUGAACGUAUCCAAUGGCUGAUGAGCAAAUAGAUUAUGAAGAUGAGGAGUAUGGAGGAGCUCAGAAGUUGCAAUAUCAGGGAAGUGGUGCAAUACCUGCACUUGCAGAGGAAGAGAUGGGAGAAGAUGACGAAUAUGAUGAUCUUUACAAUGAUGUUAAUAUUGGGGAGAAUUUUCUACAGAUGCACCGAUCUGAGGCUCCGCCAGCACCUCCUAGUGUGGGCAAUGGAGGAUUCCAACCUCGGAAUUCUAAUGAUUUAAGAGUUGAAUCUGGUGGUUCACAAGGAUUGAACAUCCCUGGGGUUGCAGUUGAAUCAAAAUACUCUACUGGAACACAUUUUCCCGAGCAGAAUGUUAAGGGGCCAGAAAUUGGAUCUGUUGGUUACCCAGAUGGGUCUUCUAUUGCACAAAAAACGAGGGUUAUGGAGAUGACUAAUGAUUCUCAAGCCCGAAAUAUGGGGUUUCAGGGAUCAACAUCGGGGCCCUCCAACAUUGGAGUCGAUCCUUCUGAUAUGAAUAAUAAAAUUUCCAAUGACCCCACACCUGUGCCAAAUGCUGGGGUUCCUCGAGUCAUUCCACAGUUGCCAGCUAGCCAAAUGAAUAUGAAUAUGGACACCAAUCGAUCAGCAACUAAUGAAAAUCAGAUCCGGCCACCUUUAGAGAAUGGUUCAACUAUGCUGUAUGUGGGAGAAUUGCAUUGGUGGACGACUGAUGCAGAGCUUGAGAAUGUUUUAUCUCAAUAUGGAAUGGUCAAGGAGAUAAAGUUUUUUGAUGAGAGAGCUAGUGGUAAAUCUAAAGGCUAUUGCCAAGUUGAAUUUUAUGAUGCAGCUGCUGCAGCUGCAUGCAAAGAGGGAAUGAAUGGGCAUCUUUUCAAUGGGCGAGCUUGUGUAGUGGCCUUUGCUUCUCAACAAACAUUAAAGCAGAUGGGUGCUUCUUACAUGAACAAAAACCAGGGCCAGCCUCAGUCACAGAAUCAGGGAAGGAGGCCUAUGAAUGAUGGUGCAGGAAGAGGUGGUAACAUGAAUUAUCAAGGUGGAGAUGCUGGAAGGAACUUUGGAAGAGGUGGGUGGGGACGAGGUGGGCAGGGAAUUCUUAACAGAGGUCCUGGUGGUGGGGGACGCAUGGGAGGAAGAGGAGGAUCCAUGGGUGCUAAGAACAUCGUUGGGGGUGCUGGUGGAGUUGGAAGUGGUGCCAAUGGUGGUGGCUAUGGACAAGGUCUUGCAGGUCCUGCUUUUGGUGGGCCUGCUGGUGCUAUGUUGCCUCCGCAGAGUAUGAUGCGAGCUGGAUUUGAUCCGACGUAUAUGGGCAGAGGAGCUGGUUAUGGAGGAUUUGCAGGUCCUGGUUUUCCUGGCAUGCUUCCUUCAUUUCCAGCUGUUAAUGCAAUGGGCCUUGCUGGGGUUGCUCCUCAUGUCAACCCAGCCUUCUUUGGCCGUGGAAUGGCACCUAAUGGCAUGGGAAUGAUGGGUCCCUCUGGAAUGGAUGGGCCUAAUGCUGGAAUGUGGUCUGACACAAGCAUGGGUGGAUGGGGAGAAGAACCUGGGCGAAGAACAAGGGAGUCAAGUUAUGGCGGUGAUGAUGGGGCUUCUGAGUAUGGCUAUGGGGAGGUGAAUCAUGAAAAAGGGGCAAGGUCAAGUGCUGCCUCAAGGGAAAAGGAGCGAGCUUCUGAGCGUGACUGGUCAGGGAACUCUGAUAGGAGGCAUCGUGACGACCGGGAACAUGAUUGGGACAGGUCUGAAAGAGAGCACAAGGAGCACAGAUACCGAGAAGAAAAAGAGAGUUAUCGGGACCAUCGACAAAGAGAGCGUGACUCCGGUUAUGAAGAUGAUUGGGAUAGAGGGCAGUCUUCUUCAAGAUCUCGGAGCAGAUCCCGUGCAGUGCCUGAAGAAGAUUACAGGUCUCGAUCAAGGGAUGCUGAUUAUGGCAAAAGGAGACGCCUACCAUCAGAGUGACACAAUCAAUCUAUUCAUUCUUGGAUAGGUUUAUGAGAUCUCAAUGUUUUAUAUUUGCACUCUUGGUCUUUCUCCCUUGGGCUGCUGCAACACAUGCACCAUUUUCUGCUGGCUUUCAUUGACCUGAAUGCAGAGGGUGACUUCUUCAGGGAAGAAGGAGUGGCGCGGGCAACUCUUUGUUUUCAUGAUUAACUUUGUUAGUUGCCUGGAGCAAGAUGUGUUAGAUGAGCUGCUUUCACUGGAUUUCUUCCAUAAUGGUUUUGAUCUGCCAAGUUUGGAAAAGAAGCCUUGACUAUUUUGAUUUCCUUUUUUCUUACAAGUACAACUUAGGAGUCUGUAAAAAAUGCUCCUACAAGAAUGUCCGGAAAGAUUUGUAUUUGUAGAGCUGUAAAAUAAGAAAGAAAUGUCAGUGAUAAGUUUUGGGAUAUAACCUCACGUUUGUUUGUAAAAUAGAUAUAUGUAUUAGGUCUACUUCGUGUAAUGGCUUCCUUCAUUAUUUAUUUUGACUUUUUUCUGGUUCAUCAAUGAACUUGUAAACCUUGUACCAACUGUGAGGCCCAUAUUUGUACACAUAUGAUGUUUUGUAACUUCUCUUGAUAUAUACAUACACAUUACUUACAAGGGUUA